UUGAAAAUAAUUACUCACCAACGUAAAAACAAAAUGUGUACUAUUUUGUUUCUUAGAUAAUAAAAAUAGAUACCAAAAUAAGAUGAGUAAUGUUAAAAGCAUCAUAUGCAAAAAGCUAUGCAAGACACCAACUUACGAGGACGUUUAAGAGUCUCAAAAUUCUUUAAUGCCUACACUACAAACCAUGUAAUGUUGAAAAUACUCAAAUAAAAAGGUUUCAUAUGAAGUUAAAAAGUAAAAACUUAAAAUU
rnacentral:sRNA from 1 species